GAGGGGCAGCGGGGUUGUAGCAAUACAACUGCCGGCGACCGGCGCACGGGUGAGUAACACGUAUGUAACCUGCCCUCUGCAGGGGGAUAAGCGGAAGAAAUUCCGUCUAAUACCGCAUAAUACAAUUUGGAGACAUCUCCGGGUUGUCAAAGGAGUGAUCCGGCAGAGGAUGGACAUGCGGCGCAUUAGCUAGUCGGCGGGGUAACGGCCCACCGAGGCUACGAUGCGUAGGGGUUCUGAGAGGAAGGUCCCCCACACUGGUACUGAGACACGGACCAGACUCCUACGGGAGGCAGCAGUGAGGAAUAUUGGUCAAUGGGCGGAAGCCUGAACCAGCCAAGUCGCGUGAGGGAAGACGGUCCUAUGGAUUGUAAACCUCUUUUGCAGGGGAGCAAGGCGCGGUACGUGUACCGCGAAGGAGAGUACCCUGAGAAAAAGCAUCGGCUAACUCCGUGCCAGCAGCCGCGGUAAUACGGAGGAUGCGAGCGUUAUCCGGAUUUAUUGGGUUUAAAGGGUGCGCAGGCGGACUGUUAAGUCAGCGGUAAAAUGUCGGUGCUCAACACCGGCCGGCCGUUGAAACUGGCAGCCUUGAGUGAGCGAGAAGUAUGCGGAAUGCGUGGUGUAGCGGUGAAAUGCAUAGAUAUCACGCAGAACUCCGAUUGCCAAGGCCGCAUACCGGGCCCUCAACUGACGCUCAGGCAGGAAAGCGUGGGUAUCGAACAGGCUUAGAUACCCUGGUAGUCCACGCAGUAAACGAUGAAUGCUCACUGUCCGGGCCGUUUAAGGCCUGGGUGGUCAAGCGAAAGCGUUAAGCAUUCCACCUGGGGAGUACGCCGGCAACGGUGAAACUCAAAGGAAUUGACGGGGGCCCGCACAAGCGGAGGAACAUGUGGUUUAAUUCGAUGAUACGCGAGGAACCUUACCCGGGCUCAAACGGAAGGGGACAGUAUGAGAAAUCAUACAUUCCUUCGGGACCGCUUCCGAGGUGCUGCAUGGUUGUCGUCAGCUCGUGCCGUGAGGUGUCGGCUUAAGUGCCAUAACGAGCGCAACCCCUAUCGACAGUUGCUAGCAGGUAAAGCUGAGGACUCUGUCGAGACUGCCGGCGCAAGCUGUGAGGAAGGCGGGGAUGACGUCAAAUCAGCACGGCCCUUACGUCCGGGGCGACACACGUGUUACAAUGGCAGGUACAGCGGGAGGCCACCCGGCGACGGGGCGCAGAACCCGAAAACCUGUCUCAGUUCGGAUUGGAGUCUGCAACCCGACUCCAUGAAGCUGGAUUCGCUAGUAAUCG
rnacentral:rRNA from 1 species